AUGGCUGUCCCUGGACCUGCUGCACAUACUGAAAUAUACUUGUUAUUUUAGGAAUCAGUGACCUUCAAGGAUGUGAUUGUGGACUUUACCUGGGAAGAAUGGAAACAACUGGAUUCUGUGCAGAGAGGUCUGUUCAGAGAUGUGACACUGGAAAAUUAUACACACUUGGUCUCUAUAGGACUCCAAGUUUCCAAACCUGAUAUGAUUUCCCAGUUAGAAAAAGGAACAGAGCUAUGGAUGGUGGAACCAGGCAUUCCAUUAGGUCCUUUUGGAGAUGGGGAGACAAGACCUGAAAAUAAUAUGUCAUCCACACACUUAGGCAUUUCUGGAAAAAUGUCCUGUGCUGCAGCAGUAGUGGAAAAACUAAAAAUAAGUGAUCAUAGAAGUUUCAACACCUUAGGAACAUAUGAAUCUGAAGGCAAUCUAGCUAGCCAACAGGAAAACCAGCAGACACUGCCAAGGGAAAUACAAAGGGAAAAGACAAUAUGCACUUGGGAGAAAGAUGCUAUAAAUAAUGAGAAGGGGAAAAGCAUCAGUAUGAAUUCAGACCUUAUAAUACAACAAGAAGUAUCUACAGAAGAGACCCCUAUGAAAUGUAACAGACAUAAAACUGAUGUCAAACAGAAUUUAACCCCAAUUAAAAAAGACAAAUCAUGUAAGUGCAAUGAAUGUGGAAAAGCUUUCAGUUACUGCUCUGCUCUUAUUCGUCAUCAGAGGACACAUACUGGAGAAAAACCUUACAAAUGUAAUGAAUGUGAAAAAGCCUUCAGUCGUAGUGAAAACCUUAUAAACCAUCAAAGAAUCCAUUCUGGAAAUAAACCUUAUAAAUGUGAUCAAUGUGGAAAAGGUUUUAUUGAGGCUCCAUCUCUUACUCAGCAUCAAAGAAUUCACACAGGAGAAAAGCCCUAUAAGUGUGAUGAAUGUGGGAAAUCAUUUAGUCAAAGGACCCAUUUGGUCCAGCAUCAGCGAAUUCAUACAGGUGAAAAGCCAUAUACUUGUAAUGAGUGUGGAAAAGCAUUUAACCAGAGAGGCCACUUUAUGGAACAUAAAAAAAUUCAUACAGGAGAAAAACCUUUCAAAUGUGAAGAAUGUGAUAAAACUUUCACUAGGAGCACACACCUUACUCAACAUAAAAAAAUCCAUACUGGAGAGAAAACCUAUAAAUGUAAUGAGUGUGGGAAGGCCUUCAAUGGACCAUCGACAUUUAUUCGACAUCAUAUGAUUCAUACUGGUGAGAAACCCUACGAGUGCAACGAAUGUGGGAAAGCCUUCAGUCAACACUCAAACCUCACACAACAUCAGAAAACGCACACUGGGGAGAAACCCUAUGAUUGUGCUGAAUGUGGAAAAUCCUUUAGUUACUGGUCAUCCCUUGCUCAACAUCUGAAAAUUCAUACUGGAGAAAAACCUUACAAAUGCAAUGAAUGUGGGAAAGCCUUCAGUUACUGCUCAUCCCUUACUCAACAUCAGAGAAUUCAUACUAGAGAAAAGCCCUUUGCAUGUAAUGAAUGUGGAAAGGCUUUCAGUUACCUCUCAAACCUUAAUCAACAUCAGAAGACACAUACCCAAGAGAAAGCCUAUGAAUGUAAGGAAUGUGGAAAAGCCUUUAUUCGGAGUUCAUCUCUUGCAAAACAUGAGAGAAUACAUACUGGAGAGAAACCCUAUGAGUGUCAAGAAUGUGGGAAAACCUUCAGUUAUGGCUCAUCCCUCAUUCAGCAUAGAAAAAUACAUACUGGAGAAAGACCAUACAAGUGCAAUGAAUGUGGAAAAGCCUUCAACCAGAACAUACACCUUACUCAACAUAAGCUAAUCCAUUCAGGAGCAAAGCCUUAUGUGUGUGCAGAGUGUGGUAAAGCCUUUCGUCACUGUUCAUCUCUUGCUCAGCAUCAAAAAACUCACACAGAAGGGAAAGCUUACCAAUGUAAUGAAUGUGAUGAAGCCUUCAGUCAGAACUCACAUCUGACUCAGCAUCUACAAAUUCAUACUCGAAAGAAGCCCUAUAAAUGCAAUGAAUGUUACAAAACCUUUAGUCAGAGCACUCAUCUGACUGAACAUCAGAAUCUUCACACUGGAGAGAAACCUUACAACUGUAGUGAAUGCAAGAAAACUUUCAGCCAGAGUUCAUACCUCAUUCAACAUCAGAGGAUUCAUUCAGGAGAGAAGCCUUUUGGGUGCAACAAAUGUGGAAAAGCAUUUAGAUACCAUUCUUCUCUCAACAAACAUCAGAGACUUCAUCCUGGCGUGUGA